CCUACGGGUGGCUGCAGUGGGGAAUAUUGGACAAUGGGGGGAACCCUGAUCCAGCCAUGCCGCGUGUGUGAAGAAGGCCCUCGGGUUGUAAAGCACUUUCAGUGAGGAAGAACGCCUGGUGGUUAAUACCCAUCAGGAAAGACAUCACUCACAGAAGAAGCACCGGCUAACUCCGUGCCAGCAGCCGCGGUAAUACGGAGGGUGCGAGCGUUAAUCGGAAUUACUGGGCGUAAAGCGCGCGUAGGUGGCUUGAUAAGCCGGUUGUGAAAGCCCCGGGCUCAACCUGGGAACGGCAUCCGGAACUGUCAAGCUAGAGUGCAGGAGAGGAAGGUAGAAUUCCCGGUGGAGCGGUGAAAUGCGUAGAGAUCGGGAGGAAUAACAGUGGCGAAGGCGGCCUUCUGGACUGACACUGACACUGAGGUGUGAAAGAGUGGGUAGCAAACAGGAAUAGAUACCCCAGUAGUC
rnacentral:rRNA from 1 species